UGCUGAUCCCUGAGGGUGGGGAGCCCCCGAAUUGAAGGAGGUGGAAUUUUCUACCAGUGUUUCUAUCAGUGAAGCUGAGGUUGAUUUAUGUUGACGCAGGGAAAAGAACGAUGUGCACUGUCCCUGGCACGCGAGAGCCUGUGGACAAGGAUUCAGACGGCUCGUCGCAUUGGUGUGUGCCUGGAAAAGCGCUGGGCAGAAUUCCUCCAACAGAGACCUGGCGGUGACUUCCUGCUGCCCUUUCCUGGUCUUGUUAAAACACUCCAGCUGCAGAGGUGUUAUGGAGGUGUUUGGAAGUCCCUGGAUAAGAUGCUGGCCACACUGAAGAAUCCUGGACAGGAGGUAGGACAGUCGGAUGGGAAGCCUGCUGACUCUCUGCACAGUGAAGUUUGUGAAGACUGCUCAGAAUACCUCAGCUGGGGAGGGAGCCUGGUAGGGAUGCAUGUGAUCCAAAAAUCCUUCUCAGAUCUGAUUUACAGGCUGAAAAACAGGGUUUCCUCUGGCACUUUGUAUUUUCCAUAUGUUUUUCAUCAGAUCAAUUGGGAAUUUUUAAAAUUACAGAAAUAAUUCAUAUUUCAACUUCAUUCUUCUUCAAGAUGGUUUUGAUGGUUUUGUAUUCAGGGCCCCUUACCCUUCCAUAUAAAUUUGAUGAUUGGCUUUUCCAUUUCUGAAAAGAAUGCUGUUGGAAUUUUGACUUGGAUUGCAUUGAAUCUGUAAAUUGCUGUAGCAGAAUUAACAUCUUAACAAUAUUUAGUCUUCCGAUUCACGAACACGGAAUGUCCCUCCAUUUCCUUGGGUAUUCUUUGACUUGUUUUGGCAAUGGUUUUGUUGUUUUCCAUAUACAAAUCCUUUAUAUCUUUGGUAAGUUUAUUCCUAGAUAUUUGAUUCUUUUGGUUGCUAUUGCAAAUGGAAUUUUAAAAAUUUCCUCUUCAGAUUGUUCACUACUAUUGUGUAGAGACACAACUCAUUUUUUGUGUUGAUCUUGUACACUGCCCCUUUGCUGAAUUUAUUACUUCUAGUAGUUUUGUUGUGAAUUUUUCCAGAUUUUCUAUACAUAAGAUCAUGUCAUAUGAAAAUAGGGAAAGUUUCACUUCUUUCUUUCCAAUUUGGAUGUCUUUUCUUUUUCUUACCUAAUUGCUCUGGCUAGGAUUUCCAAUACAAUGUUGAAUAACAGUGGUGACAGUGGACAUCUUUGUCUUGUUCCUGGUCUUAAGAGGGAAAGUUUACAGUCUUUUAUCAAUGAGUAGGAUGUUAUCUGUGGGUUUUCAGAUAUGUCCUUUACUAUGUUGAGGAAGUUUCAUUUUCUAAGUUGUUUUUUUGUUUUUGUUUUUGUUUUUUUGAUGAAGAUGGGGUGUGGAUUUUGUCAAAUGCCUUUUCUGUAUCAAUUGAGAUGAUCAUACGGUUUUUCUCCUUUGUUCUAUUAUGUGGUAUAUUAUAUUAAUUGAUUUUCUUAUGUUGAACCAUCCUUGCAUAUUGGGAUAAUUCCCACUUGAUCAUGGUGUAUAAUUACUUGAAAGUGUUAUUGGGUUUGGCUGGCUAGUCUCUUGUUCAGGAGUUUUGCAUCCAUAUUCAUAAGGGAUAUUGGUCUGUAAUUUUAUUUUCUUGUCAUAUCUUCUGUCUGGCUUUGGUAUUAGGUUGAUGAUGGCCUCAUAGAAUGAGUUUGGAAGUAUUCCUUCCUCUUCAAUUUCUUUUUGGGAAGAGUUUGAACAGAAUUUGUGUUAAUUCUUCUUGGAAUGUUUGGUAAAAUUUAGUAAAAUUCACCAGUAAAGCCAUCUAGGUCUAGGCUUUUCCUUGUUGGGAGGUUCUUAAUGAUUGGCUCAAUCUCUUUACUUGUAAUUAGUCUGCUGAAUUCUUCUAUGUCUUCUUGAGUCAGUGUAGUUGUGUGUCUAGGAAUUUGUUCAUUUUGUGCAGCUUUUCUAAUUUGUUGGUGUACAGUUUCAUAGUAUUCUCUUAUAAUCCUUUUUAUUUCUGUGGGGUUGGUAGUAAUGUGCCCCCUUUCAUUUCUGAUUUUAGUUAUUUGCAUCUUUUUUUUUUUUUGUCAGGCUAGAAAACGUGUCAAUUUUAUUGAUAUUUUCAAAGAGCCAACUUUUAGUUCUGUUGAUUCUGUCUAUUGUAUUUUAAUUCUCUAUUUCAUUUACUUUCACUCUAAUUUUUAUUUCCUUGCUUCUGCUUGCUUUAAGUUAGUUUGCUCUUCUUUUUCUAGAUACUCCAGUAGUGAAGUUAGGUCUGAUUUGAGAUCUUUCCUCAUUUUUACUGUAAGCAUUUAGAGCUAUAUAUUUCCCUCUCAGCACUGCCUUUGUUGCAUCCCAUAAAUUUUGGUAUGUUAUAUUUUCUUUUUCAUUUGCCUCAAGAUAUUUCCUGUUUCCCUUAUGAUUUCUUCUUUGACUAAUCGAUUGAGUGUAUUGUUUAAUUUCUAUAUACUUGUAAAGCUUCCAGCUCUGAUAUUGAUUUCUAGCUGCCUUCCAUUGUGAUCAAAGAACAUACAUAGUGUGAUUUUAGUAUUUUCAUAUUUAUUGAGACUUGUUUUGUGACCUAAUAUAUGGUCUAUCCUUGAGAAUGACCCAUGUACACUAUAGAAGAAUGUGUAUUUUACGCUGAGUGAAAUGUUUUAUAUAUGUUUGUUGGGUCUAGUUUGUUUACAGAAUCAUUCAAGUCUUCUAUUUCCUUACUGAUCUUCUGUCUAGAUGUUCUAUCCAUUAUUGAAAGUGUAUACGGGAGUCUCCUACUGUUUAUGUAGAACUGUCAAUUUCUCCCUUCCUAUAUGUCAAUAUUUGCUUCAUAUAUUUUAGGCUUUGCUCUUAGGAGUAUAUAUAUUUAUAAUUAUUAUAUCUCCUUGUUAAAUUGACCCUUUGAUGAAUGUUAUUAAGUUUCAGUAGACAUUCUUUAUCAAACUAAAGAAUUUCACUUUUAUUUCUAACUUAAGAGUUUUUAUAUAGAUUGGGUGACAAAUAUUAUCAAAUGACUUUACAGCAUUUUAAGAUGAAUUUUUCUUGCAGCAUAUUAAGUAUAGUAAUAAAUGCCCUAAUAGUAAUCAUCUUUUUAUUCCUGUAAUUAUUUUAGCUUUAAAAAUUAAACUAGAAGGUUUGUUUUCUUUCACAGUAUCAUCCUGAUGGGAUUAGACAUGAAACAAUAAUGACUGUCAUAUUAAUAUGGAAAACUCAGUCUGUCAAGUCUAGAAUGCUGGACCACUCUCUCCAACCCCUACCCUGUUUGGCACUUCAGUCAUGGUAGUUCCUGAUAAAGGUAUGGUAAGUCAGGUUGUAAGACCUUGGCACAGACCCAGAUUUGAAGGUAGCAUUGGCAAACCAUGGGCAGUAACUAUCAAGUAAAAUGAGAAAUGUCCAAUGCUGAGAAACAAAGGGGAUGAAAAUGUUAAGAAGAGAGAGGUAAUAGAUAAAAAUGGCUAAUAACAUUAUUAAUUAGAAUAAAAUAUUUGCAGGAACCUUACUCUGAAAGCUGGAGAAAAAAAGGACAGAUCAGAAAAUAUGAGAUAUACAUAUCCUUAGCUAUGAAAAAUAUCUAAAUAUCUAGUUUUGCUAUUCCCCAAUAAAACUUUUAAUCCUAGGUUUUGGUAGGAUCUUGUAAGAGCUUGUAGAUUCAUGUGCAAUUUUGAAGUCCUGUGAUGGUGAACAAGCUGUAAUCCUGUCACCUCACGGAUCACCCAAUUUCAUUUGGUGAGUGUGGGUAGGCAGGACCCCUUCCUCUCUCUCUUAUUGCUCCUGGAUUUCCUAAUUCACUUUACCCAACCCUUCCAGUCUCAUCUUCUCAAGUCAUCCUAUGUCCUAUAAGUUCCAGACACUGAACUCCUUAACAUUUCCAGAACAUUCUACGCCAAUUUAUACUUGAAUGUAUUUACACAGUUUGUCUUUUCCUGCAAAGGUCCUUGUCCAUUUUCACUGGUGAACCUUAUUUAUUCUUCAUAAUCCAGCUCAGAGGCCAGUUUCUCUGAAAGCUUUCCUCAACCCUUCUUUUCUUCACGCCCUACAGCAAGAGUUUGUUGUUGUUCUUCUGAUUCAACCUUAGCACCCACCUCAUCACAUUCCAGAUGGCUGUUUAAUUUUCUGUCUCUGCUCUAGACUCUGAAUUCUCCCACUGCAGGGAAUGACACUUAUUUAUCUGUGUAUCUCUGAUACCUACCAUGGUACGUGUCAGGAAGUGGCAAGUACCAAAUGUUUUCCAAAGAGUGCCACAGAAUCCUGAAGUCCAGGGCGG
ensembl:lincRNA